rnacentral:sRNA from 1 species
UGAUAACAUUUUCAGACGGUACUUGAUU